ACGGAAGGCAGCAGUGGGGAAUAUUGGACAAUGGGGGAAACCCUGAUCCAGCGACGCCGCGUGAGUGAAGAAGUAUUUCGGUAUGUAAAGCUCUAUCAGCAAGGAAGAAAAUGACGGUACUUGGCUAAGAAGCUCCGGCUAAAUACGUGCCAGCAGCCGCGGUAAUACGUAUGGAGCAAGCGUUAUCCGGAUUUACUGGGUGUAAAGGGAGCGUAGACGGCAAAGCAAGUCUGAAGUGAAAUCUAUGGGCUCAACCCAUAAACUGCUUUGGAAACUGUUUAGCUAGAGUGCAGGAGAGGUAAGUGGAAUUCCUAGUGUAGCGGUGAAAUGCGUAGAUAUUAGGAGGAACACCAGUGGCGAAGGCGGCUUACUGGACUGUAACUGACGUUGAGGCUCGAAAGCGUGGGGAGCAAACAGGAUUAGAUACCCUGGUA
rnacentral:rRNA from 1 species